rnacentral:lncRNA from 1 species
UCCAUGAAUAAACUUAUCGUCUUUUAUGUACUGAUGAACAUAGAGAUGGAGCGAUCAGAGUUUGUUUAUGUACCAAAUUAGAGUGAGUUGAGAAAAGAGUGGAUUUACACAAGGACGAAAUGGCUGGCUGCUGCUUGUUCAAAACUGAAAGUUAGGGUGACCUUGUUUCUCAUAGGGACUCAGCAAAUUAAGGGGCCUCUAGGUCUACUUCUUGUCUCAUUAUAUAUGCUAUUAGCCAUUCAACGUUGAAAGUCCAUAUCCCUUUUUCUACGGCCACCAAGGCUUCCUCCACGUCUUCCUCACAAGCCACAAAGAUCGUCUUCCAUACGUUGUUUACUUUAUCUAGCUCAUGAAUCACCUAAAUUUUCAAGCAUAAUGAAUUUGCCAAGUGAGAGAAAAAAAUUAUGUAUAUACUACAAGGAAAUUGCAAGAAUUCACCCUAUCAAAAAUAUUAAACAAAUUCUUGUUCUAGUCCCUAAAAUUUUCCAUCUUUUCCCAACUUUCAAAAUGCUUCCUAUGAGAUAUAUUCCAAUCACAUAUAGCAGAAAUGACCAAUGAGUAUUGGAUAAAUGAAUAUUAAUUGAUAAAAUAAUUUACAAAAUACUAAAACCGUUAGUUGGCUACGUUUUGGAAGCUCGAUGACUAAAAUGGAUGUUUUGAAAGUUCUAAGGCUAAAAUGGAAUUUAAAUCAACAUAAUAGUAAGUUCAAGAUCAAAGACAAGCUAAACAAUAAAAUGUUGCGACCAGAAAACAAUCUAAUCAUAAUUAGAAACAUGGAUUUGAUAAUUAAAAACUUGAACAAAUUUGAUAAUUAAAGAAACACGGAGAUGGCCAUAUGACCCCUUGUGCAUAGACUUUUUACAUUACAUGCUCAAUUCCUAGGAUCAAAACAAACAUAAAUAUUAAAGACUUAAGAAGCACAUACACUCAAGUUUGGCUAGUGUAUCAAUAAACAAUAUGUAUGGAACACUCGGAGAACACGUGUUGAACACUAGUUAGUACAGUAGAUGUGUUAGACAACAAGUAUUCCAAUGCAAUAAAGGUCAAGAUUGGUCACACACACAUAUUAAACUCUUGGCUUUGAAUAAGUUUUGAGUGAAGGACAAGCUUAUUUUUAAGCAUAUAAAUACAUAAACUUAUUGACUUUGAAUUUCUAUAUAAAUAUGAGACAUACUUUUUAAAUUAUAUAUAUUAAAACUGUGUUCUAGCACUAUCCUAUAUUUUUUAGAAAAAAAUGACACGUCACCAUGUCUAUGAUUUAUUGACCCAUGUCUAAAAUUCGUAUACGUGCUUGUUGUUGAAAUUUUUUGUCCUAAAACUCAUAGUUUGUAAUCAUAUUCUGCUCAAUAAAGUUGUUAUUGAGAAAUUAAAUAUUAUAAUCUUAAAUCCAAUAAAUCAAGUUCCAAGGCUAUUUUUGAAUAAACUUGAACUUUAUGUGUAAACAUAAACGUGGAUCAAGUUCGAGUAUAUAGCCUAAAUAGUGUAUAGUAUAUGAAAUAAAGGUUGGGCACCUUAUUUAGAGAAACUAUGGAUGCGGCCCACUUUGUAGUACAAACGAGGUGAUCCUAAUCGUUCAUGUAGAGACAUGAAAGUGGGGGCAUCCUAUGUAAAGUGUUUACAUAAGACUGAACCAUGAAUUUGUCUUUUUUACGUUAUAACACCGUUUACUGUUUAAAACUGACUAUCUCAAUUAUUGAUGACCUCGGUAACUUAGUCUUAAUCCUGAGUUAACUAUGAACUCUUGUUCACACGAGAUUAUCCUUAGAUCUGCAUAGGUGAGGGCAGCUCAUCAGCGUUGGCCCAAUAAGCCUCCAAUUUCAAGGGUAUGAUCGGGUGGAUAGCUGGGAACAUAGGGUACAAGAUGGAAUUCACUCCUACCCGCUUUAGGGUUAGUAGAUAGGUUGUUCUCUUAAGCACUGAAUCCAAGUCUUGAACAAGGGGCCCCACCCUCUCAUUGGCCGAGAGGGAUUAAGUUUAUAGGUUGAACCUUAAACCAAUUGUUCAAUAGUCGAUUAGUGGGACUUAAGGAGCAAGAUGUAAUUUUUGGGGGUAAAACGGUAUUUUAACCCAGCCAAGGUUACGAGCAACCUGUGAAGGAUUAACUUACCAAUUAUGGUUUUAUCAAAUGGACACAAAUAUAUCUAUAGUGAGGGGAGUGCAACUACGGGACUUUAGUGGAAUGACCCGUUAGUUAACGAAUGUUGAUUAACUCUGUCUAAAAGAGUUUAGCUAGUUAAUCUUGAAUCGUUGGAGCCCAUGAUCUAUAGGUCCAUUAGGUUCCUCUGCUAGCUCAUAUGGAUUAAACUUAGAACAGUGUGAUGAAAUAAGUCGAAUUGUUCGAAUUGGGAGAAGAAAGAGAAACCGACAGGUAUAGUGAUAUAGUCGUCGGUCUUCUAAAUAGAAAAAGAGCUUCAUGUUUUUCAUACUAUAAGUAUGAAUGCGGAUUCAUACUAAGAAGCUCGGAAUUGAUGGAAUUGGUCAAAAAUUGUAAAAAGUUAAAAUGUUGACUUUUGACUUUGAAAAGUCAAACUUUGACCGACCAUAUAUUCAAAUGUGAUUUGAAUUUUGGAAAAAUGAAUGCGGAUUCAUGCUCGGGAGGUUGGAAUUAGUCAAGACGGACAAAAUGGUAAAAAGUCAAAAUAUUGACUUUUGACUUAGAAAAGUCAAAGUUUGACUUUUGACUAGAAAUAUCUAAUGACCAUUUUACCCUUGGACUAAGUUAGUGGGAAAAUCCAACAUUUUGUUGGAUAAUCCCACUAACUCUUAGUGGGAUAUGUGGCUAUAUGAGAUAUAGACACCUAGCCCACUAAGUUCCACUAAUUGUUAGUGGAACAUUAGGUGUUGAGAUUUGACAAAUGAAUUACAUGCAUUUUUGCAUGUAAUUAGGUUAUAAAUAGAGGUGUUUUCAAAUGUUGAAGGACUUUUGCCUCUUUUAUCAUUUUCAUCAUCUCAACCAAAGAAAAAAAAGAAACCUUCUAACCCCCUUUUAUCUCCAUUACUUUCUACACCAAAAUUGGGUCCCACAACCCGGUUCUUUGUUUAGAGGAUAGCAGUUGAGUACUAGUGGUGGUCUCGGUUUGAAUUGGUAAGAAGAUAUCAAACUUUUUGAAAGCUUCAAAGGUAAUAUUUCCUAAAACCCUAAUUUGAUUAGUUUAUGGUUACAUGUUAAUUGUGGCAAUUAGAGUAGAAAUUCGAUUCUUUUUCCGCUGUGCAUGACUUAGUUCUAUCACUUGUUUGUUGAGAACUUCACGUCUUCAUUAGAUGGGAGGAUAGCCAUAUUAUAGUGGUUGUAUAUGUAAGAAAGAGAACCAAACCUAGUACUCGAGAUUUGUACAAUAACAGAGAACUUACAUUUCCACCGGCUGACUUGACU